rnacentral:siRNA from 1 species
AAGAAGUUCAGUUGGUGUUAAUUA